AACGCACAUUGCGCCCGCCAGCAUUCUGGCGGGCAUGCCUGUUCGAGCGUCAUUUCAACCCUCAGGCCCCUCCGGGCUUGGUGUUGGGGAUCGGCCCCGCCCCGGCGGCCGGCCCCGAAACUCAGUGGCGGUCGCGCCGUAGGCUCCUCUGCGUAGUAGCAACACCUCGCAGUGGGACGCGGCGCGGCCACGCCGUAAACCCCCCAACUUCUGAAUGUUGACCUCGGAUCAGGUAGGAAUACCCGCUGAACUUAA
rnacentral:misc_RNA from 1 species